AUACAGUUAAAAAAUUAAGCAUCUUCAUGUGCAAUUAAUUGGGACCCUCAUUAUUAUUUUUCUUUUAACAAUACAUAAUUUCAUUAGUAAACGCUGGGGCUUUUCUUUUUAAAUUAUUAUUCUAAAAAUUUUAUUUUCAGCCACGACCCAUGAGUUCUGAAAAAAUUAUAAUAUUAUUUAGUUACCCAUUUUUUUCUUCUAAUGAUGCAGGAA
rnacentral:misc_RNA from 1 species